AAGCUGUGGUAUCCACGAAGAGUACUCCAAGGGGCUUGAAGCUUAUUUUCUGGUUUCAUAAUUCUUAAUAUGGGCAGACCAAUUCAGUCAAUUGAAGAACUGUUAUAUGUACUUCAUCUUGUAAAAACUUUUAUAAAUGGUUGAUAUGUGAGGAUUGAGUUCCUUUUUUGUCU